ACAGUCGUUUGUGACUUGUGGGACUCAUAAUCCUUUGGUCGCUGGUUCGAGUCCAGCCGGGGGGACCA
rnacentral:tRNA from 1 species